rnacentral:lncRNA from 1 species
CCACUCCCACCAAACUGCAGCGACGCUGCUUAAUAAUUUCAUAACUUUAAAAUUAUGACAUCAGUGGUAACAAACAAAAACUCCAGAGGCAUCUACAUAAAAUUCCCCACAAGUUUUGUAUAUAAUUUAUAAUUAAAUUCCAACAUUUAAUUAGCCCAAAAUAGUCCACAAGAUGAACCCUGUAAUCUGUUUUUUUGUCUUUUGGCAGCGACAUACCCGGAUUCAAACAGCGAUAUCUUUUAAAAUAUAAUUCCAAAUCAAGCGCAUAAGUACUCAUUGGAAAGAUAAGACAAAGCCCUACAUGAUUAUCAUACUGGUUAACACUAAUUACCCACGAAAAAUUCCCAGAAACUGCUAAUACUACUGCUGUUCACCCACCUGAAAAAUCUGUUUUUUGGACAGCAACAUAACCGGAUUUAAACAAUGAUAUCUCCUAAAUUAUAACUCCGAAUCGAGCGCAUAAGUACUCGUUGGAAAGGUAUGACAAAGCUCUACAUGAUUCUCCCACUGAUCCCCACUAAUUGCCCACGAAAAAUUCCCAGAAAUCCCUAGAACUACUGCUGUUCGUCCACCCACUAAAUUUCUGGACAACACCUCUACCAAAUCGCAUAGGUAAACAUAUAACCAAUUGGAUUGCAGCACAAAUACAACAAAAUGAUCACGAAAAUCACCUUGGGUUCCUCCCUUCCUCCUUCUUUUCUUCCUUCUUCCUCCCUCCAAACUCCCAUGGAAGACUCGCACCCACACGACGGACACCAAGCGGGAAGGCUCCACCUUGGAGAGGAAGAGGUGGGGGGCUAGGGUUGAGGGGUGGAGCUGCAAUCACUUGGGGAAGAAGGAGAGGAAUUGGGGCGGCUGCAAGAGUGGAAGAGAGGAAGAGAGAGGGGGGAGGGGCGGCCAAAGGGAUGGGGGAGUGAGAGGGAGGGGGCGGCUAGGGUUAAGGGGGGGAACUAAUGGGCUCCCCACCGCCGGAUCGAGAUCCAGGGCCCAAACUCGCUCUCACGUCUGCUCCCGACCCCAGCGCACAAAUCCAACAAGUAAUCUACUGUUUUAUUGGUGAAUGCUUCCUAAAAAACUCCAACUACACAGAUCACAAAAGAAAAGGGAAAAAUAAAUUUAACUUCUUUUCAGAAAAUUGGGUAUCACACUCUACCCCCUUAAAAAGAAUUCGACCUCGAAUUCCGACGCUUCUAUCGGAACGACAAGGAAAGAUCAAUGAAUCAACAAAACUCACACAUAAAGAAAAGUUCGGGUACUUCUGCCGCAUCAGCUCCUCAAGCUCCUAGGAUUCUAAGAUACGCAGCAGACGACACUCUAGAGUCUGGUCUUGCAACACAAGAAUCGGCUCUAGCUCGAUUUGAUGGUCUGGAUUCCGCAAAUACUUCCUCAACAUAAAGACAUGGAAUACAUGGUGUACUCUGAUCGUAGACUCCGACAAUUGUAGGUGCUAAGCCAAGCUGCCAACUCGGGCUAAGAUAGUAGACGGUCCUAUAUAACUCGGACAAAGCUUUCCUGACACCAAAUCAACAUUGACACAUGCAAGUACUUCAAUGAAUAUAUAUAUGAAUGCAAUACAUACUGUGCUCAAAUAGCCUAAACCAAACCUAUCCAAACAAGAGUAACUUCAAAAGAUCAAUUUAAUGCUUGCAUAUUUCUAGACAGCAGCACAACAGUUAUUUGUUUUCCUCAUAACUCACAAAAUAUGCAUCCAAUAGAAGUAAACUAGGACUUUAUGGAAAGCUUACAAAGUCCACUAUACCCUUGGUAUUAUCAUCACCACAAGAUUUGACACUUAGAAAGGCCAAACAAUGCGAAACGUAAAUUUUGUCCAGACUUGGACAGAAUUCAACUACUCACUUCAAAAAUCCAUAAUUGGAGUCUCAGUCAUCCAAUUCAGGCGCUCCUAGACUUUUUAGAAAGUCAGUAAAAUUGUCUAUAUUUCAUUUAUAAACCUAUCAGGUUAAUUCAAUGCAUAUCAACAUCAAAAGACAUAAGAAAGGCUUUGUUGUCCAAAUUUGGACAGAUUCAAAGAUUCCAAUUAAAACAGUUGUAGCUUAACUUAUAGGUCAACAAAAAGGGUGAUCCAAAAUUUGUUGGAAAGUUUAAGGAAAGUACUACCACUUCUUUAUAAUUUAUAAGAACUGAUUCGAAGUUUAACUUGGGCAAACAAGGUCAGUUUCGAAAUCUGUACAGAAUCUGGACAGAUUCCAAGACUAGACUUGAGAAAAUCAUAACUCCCAAACUACUAGACCUAUGGUCAUGAAAUUUUACACAAGUAAGAUGAAGAAGUUGGCUACAACUUUUUAUAUACAACACCUCCAUCGAAAACAUGGUGUAAUUCAUUGAACUAGCGGCAUAACCAAAACUGGUCAUGUAGUCCCAAACAGCAAGCAAUAAAUUUAUUCAGGUUCUAUACUCUUCUAAGAUUAAGCGUUCAUCGAAGGACUAAUAACUUUAGGUUCUUCAUUACAAGACACUUAGAGCCAACAUAAGGGUAGAAGCAAUAUGUUUACUUUUUAAAUCAUUUUAAGCCUGAUCUCACAUCAUCCAAGCACAUUCUAUACAUUAUAUCAUCCCAUCGAAGAAAUCUCUCUUUUUUUUAAUUAUACUAUGCAUAUAUAUAUAUCCAUCCAAUAACUCAUACAAUCUGCAUCUCCACCUAGACUUCACACGACGUAACUAUUUCAUACUUACGCAAACAUGCCGAGACCAGAAAACAUGGCUUCACAACAAUACGUACUAGCAUAUUCAAAUAUCCCUCGCUAUCUCUCUGUUUCAGCCCACGCUCCGCAUAUACAAUGACAAGAUAACUAUCACAACCACUACAUCUAUUCCCUCCCACCAUACAACAUAAUUAACAUGGUUUGCGAAAGAGCUCACCAUAACUAAACCAAAUUCCCAAAGAAAUAUCCCUAAAUAGAAAAUUGACAAUCAACAACACAAAUGCUCAUUCUGUCUCUACCUCUUUCACUAUAAAAGCAAUGUUAACAAAGAAAUAUUGUAAAAUCAUCUAAACUUCAUGACCUACAACUUUUGUAUUCAAAGGAUAAACAAAGUUUUAUUUUAUCUCCAUUUUUUUGAUGACUUGUAAGGCGACAUACAUGAUCUGCCACCAGAACCUGACGGAACAUGACCCAUAAAUUCAAAACAUCAUAACUCUCUGCAUCUAACAAAAUUUUACAAAUAUAAACUCAUUGAAAAGAUUAUAACAUUCCCUAAAACUUUUAUUAUAAUGAGUGUCUCAGAAUUGGUUUCCAAACCAAUAAAACAAUGCAACUGCUUUGUUGCAAAACUGAUAGGUUAGAAACAAGGGACAACUAAAAUUCAAAAUACUAUAACUCCUGCUAUACUCAACUUAAAACUACAACGAACACGCGUUGGAAAAGUUUGGAAAUUGUCCACGACUUUUGCAAUAAAGUUGCACCCAAAUUUAUCUUUAUAGCCCUCAACUCUGCAUGACCUACAGCUAAACUCAGUCUGAGAUACUGCACAUCAGAGAUUCGACUUAUAUCCGGACAACCACCUCUCCCAAUCUAUUUAACAGACAAUUACAAGUAAAUACCCAUUAAAAGGUACUAAGAAAAAAACUAAUAGUUUUUUUUAAAGAGAAUUCCCAAAUUUGGGCUCUAAAACUAUCAAAACGCGGUCGAUUUAUUAGUGGUUUUAACGACACCUAAAGUUCAGACACAACGGUGCAACAACUUCAGAGUAGCCUAACUCCAAUUACAUGCAAUGAAAACUACAAACCAAUACUCUUUGGGAAGAUCAUGAAAUUACUAAAACUUUCAUAAUCCAACAAAACCCAAAAUUUACCGUAUUCAAUGUCUAUACUUCCGUACAAAAUUAAGGCUGCUAUAGGAAACCCAUAACUCUCAAAUAUUUAGACCAAACUGGGUGAUUGAGCAUCCUAUACAAAGAUGAAGAAACCUACUACAAAACAUUCUAGAUAAGUGAAGCCUGAUUCAGCCUCCAACUAAUUUAAAAUGACUCCCAAAACAAAACAACACCUUACCCAUAAUAAAAAAACAAUAUAAAAUAAAACCCAAGGCAUUGGCAGGUGCGACCCACACUAGGAUUUUCCACUACCAAAUGGGGAUGCAACUCCCCAAAACCUUUAAACCACACUUUACCUAAUAGGUUAGAACACUAAGCACAACAAUCAACGAAUUCAUCAACCUCGUUUGUUAAUGCCACUAAGGUCAAACAUCCAUGUAUCAACAAUGUAUGAAACACCUGACAUACCCGCCUCUAGCACUAUAAAACAUGGUUGUUAUUACACUAGAAUCUAACUAUUAGAGCUCUCCACAACUAUUCUGUUGACGUGAAGCAAAUGGUGCUCAUGUCAUGUAACGUCUUUUCCUCCUCUCAAAAGAGAUAAAAUUUGCAAUACUCAUAAAGCAAUGGAGGGAUAACAACAAGAAAACUAAUGUACUUCUUGACACAGACUCAUGCAAAAGCUUCAUAAAUAUUACUUUCAAUACUAAAAUAAUAACACGAUACUAUGCUCAACAGGAGUAAUUGGACGUCAAUAAGACAAUCCACAUAACCAAGCUACCUUGAUUAACCUCACAUACCACAAAACCUACUAUUACUGCACUUGAACAAUUUGUACCUCGUGAUAUCACAGGAUGCAUUCAAAGUAGUAGACAUACAUGAUCUAUCAAACCAUCAUUCAUAUAAGAAAAAUUUCAAUCCGAUGCAACAACCCCAUCAUUAAAGAGAUAGAAGACUAACAAACAUAAGCAACUCCCAGUUAAGCAUUGACUUCGUUUAAGAUAAAGCGGUCCAAAUAAUGAUUCAACAAGCGUGCAUAGAGAAACUGCUCAUAAAAAAUCGAACUGCCAUACAAUGUUGGCAAAUAAAAAAAUAUAAAACGGGUUGUCAAUAUCGCCCACAUGACUAGCCUGCAACAACUAAAAAACUAUGCAUAGCCUUUAUGGCUAUUGAAACAAGCCAUAGAAGGAAAACAUGCACGACAUAAAAUCCACUUGAAACCACCCUAUUUAUUGUUAAAAAUAAGGUUGCACAUAAUAAGAAAACCUAUCAGGUAGACAUGGUUGGACUUAUCAAUCUACAUCAUCUCACAAAUUCACUCGAGUUCUACCAGUCUAAAGAUUUCAUAGACAUUACAAUGUUGCCUCUGCUCUAUAGAGACAAACCAAUUUUAUACUAAGAUCAAGUUAGCAAGUUGCCACACUAGCCUAAAAAAAGUGAGGUGCAAAGCAUUGCACCCAUGGAAAUAUUACAUUGAUAAGUUGGGUUGUUACCCAACAGUCAAUCAAACUCAACAACACCAUAAAACUACAUUAUGUAGUGUUUUCACACUACACCAAGUUGGAUUAGACCCAAUAUACACAAGCUCAAUAAACAAUCGGUCCUAUAAGUACAAGAACCCAAGAAUCCUUUUGGGAAAAAAACAUCCACAGUCAAGCAUAUAGAAAUAUAUGAUGGUAAUAGCUCAGAGAUUUGAAAACAUUGCAUCUAAAAAAACAUCAUGACGAUAUGUAUAUAAAACAAGUACAUUAGUAGCUUCACUUGCAUAAUAUCUUCAAUAACAACCACAUCAAGAAAUCAAUAUUAAAUAGAAGUAACAUAUCAUAUCAAGCAUUACAUCGUUAACGACAUACCACAUCAAACCAUAAAGGGAUUUGGAGUAAGGAAGUUCUAGUCAUCUAUACAAUAAAAUACUAAUAUGAAAGAUAUACGAACCCAUACCCUUCCUAUAUGUGCAAGUGUGUCAAAUUUAUCUUCAAAUUGCGUAGAAUCUACAGCCUAUCCUCUGAUACCAACUGUAACACCCCGGGGUCCACAAACACCCCAGAAUGCUACUAAACAACACUUCUGACAUCUAUAUAUAAAAUUUCGGCAGCAUCCCCUUUGCAAUUUGCAUAAAUGAGGGGGCAACAGUGUAUAAACUUAUAUCAUGACAAAAACAUACUAAGUAUUAUUAAUCGGCUAGCAAAGAGAAGUUAAACAUACGACAUGAUCUGAAUUAACUAGUGUGCACGACUAGUUAAAAAACAAACUUCCUUUGACAAUAAGUUCUAAUUAAAUCAUGGCUGCGCCUGGGCAACGUUAUUGUGAGAGUGAAAGUGGACGUGCUGCUACUCCCCUCAUUCCCAGCAUGUAUAAAGUACCUGCAUUGAGUAAUGUAAGAGUGAGAUGACACAUCUCAGCAAGUAAAAUAAUAUCAAACUGUUUAACCACAUAAGAACAUUGUUUUACCACCACUUGAUUCCACAACCUUCUUAUUACGAAGGUGCAGCACGUAUACAACGUACAACACACCUAGUCACCACACCUCGCAGGUGGAAACCACAAUAGUAACAUAGUAAUGUCACACUUCAUAUAUGCCUCAUGAGUGCAAAUGUCUGCAAAUGCAAGAAUGACUUCUGCCUUCAUAUCUCUAAGGAUAUGAAGCCGCAUCGUACCCCUCCUCGGGCAACGUACAAUGCUAAAAAUGUACCGGUACAGUCGGACCAUAAGAUCGCGACAUAACUUCAAAAUGCAAGAUGGAUGAUGCGAUGUGCAUGUCAUGCCUACAACACUUCAUAUAACGUGAUUCAAAAAGAUACUUCAACUUCAUCCAAGAUGGAAAUCAACCACAUAUAUCAUUACCAAAUUAUGAUCAUCAACAAUAUUAGACAAUUGAGAAUUAAUACUUCCAAACAAAUAAACUUCAUCAUAGAAAUCAAUGAUUAACAUAAUUAUAACUUAUGCAUACUCAAUGACAGGGAUUAGGAUGCAACCCAAACGGUAGCAACCACCACUGUAUUUACUUGCCUUUACCGGGAGUUCGGGCAAAUCCCUAAGUACGAUCCGGAAGUCCACCACCUGUUUUUGACACACAACUUAGUGCACCAAUUUCGCAUAAUCAGGCUCAUAAACGACGCCGCACCUACGCACAAACUCAAACCCCGCCGCGGGUUACAUCUCUCCCCACUCCCACCAAACUGCAGCGGCGCUGCUUAAUAAUUUCAUAACUUUAAAAUUAUGACAUCAGUGGUAACAAACAAAAACUCCAGAGGCAUCUACAUAAAAUUUCCCACAAGUUUUGUAUACAAUUUAUAAUUAAAUUCCAACAUUUAAUUAGCCCAAAAUAGUCCACAAGAUGAACCAUGUAAUCUGUUUUUUUGUCUUUUGGACAGCGACAUACCCGGAUUCAAACAGCGAUAUCUUUUAAAAUAUAAUUCCAAAUCAAACGCAUAAGUACUCAUUGGAAAGAUAAGACAAAGUCCUACAUGAUUAUCAUAUUGGUUAACACUAAUUACCCACGAAAAAUUCGCAGAAACUGCUAAUACUACUGUUGUUCACCCACCUGAAAAAUCUGUUUUUUUGGACAGCAACGUAACCGGAUUCAAACAACGAUAUCUCCUAAAUUAUAACUCCGAAUCGAGCGCAUAAGUACUCGUUGGAAAGGUAUGACAAAGCUCUACAUGAUUCUCCCACUGAUCCCCACUAAUUGCCCACGAAAAAUUCCCAGAAAUCCCUAGAACUACUGUUGUUCGUCCACCCACUAAAUUUCUGGACAGCACCUCUACCAAAUCGCAUAGGUAAACAUAUAACCAAUUGGAUUGCAGCACAAAUACAACAAAA